AUGAACGCUGGCGGCGUGCCUAAUGCAUGCAAGUCGAACGGGGAAUAUUACUUCGGUUUUAUUUCUAGUGGCGGACGGGUGAGUAACACGUAAGCAACCUGCCCUCGAGUGGGGAAUAAUCUACCGAAAGGUGGACUAAUACCGCAUAAUGUGUAGGGGUAAUGCCCAAACACCAAAGCCUUCGGGCGCUUAAGGAGGGGCUUGCGGCCUAUCAGGUAGUUGGUGAGGUAACGGCCCACCAAGCCGAUGACGGGUAGCUGGUUUGAGAGGAUGAUCAGCCACAUUGGGACUGAGACACGGCCCAGACUCCUACGGGAGGCAGCAGCAGGGAGUAUUGCGCAAUGGGCGAAAGCCUGACGCAGCAACGCCGCGUGGGUGAUGAAGGCCUUCGGGUCGUAAAGCCCUUUUCUUGGGGAAGAAGCUCUGACGGUACCCAAGGAAUAAGCCACGGCUAAUUACGU
rnacentral:rRNA from 1 species